rnacentral:lncRNA from 1 species
AGAGAGAGAGAGAGAGAGAGAGAGAGAGAGAGAGAGAGAGAGAGAGAGAGAGAGAGAGAGAGAGAGAGAGAGAUACUGUAAAAGAUGCAGUAAAUCCAGUUAAUCAGCUCAUUUAUGAGUCUUGAAGCCUGUUCUGUCUUUCAUUCCCUCAAGCAUCUCACCCCAAUCCCCCUUUUCGCCCCACCCCUGCAAAGAGAAGUGCUGUAAUCGGUCAUAAAAUGUCACAGCAACUACAGCUUUCUUAGAUGUUGAGACCACAAGCACAGGACUGAACCAGGGUUGUAUUCCUGCUGCUGCAGCCCACACGAUUAAAAGACCCGCUUUUGCUUCUUUCUUGUUACUGAGCUUCCCUCUUUGCCCCAUUCUUUUUCAGUCCAGCAAACAGGAGAGUCCACAAUCUUCAAAGAGAUCAAAAUCAGUGUGAGUUGGGAAUUCAUUUUUUUUUAAAAAUAGAAGUGAGGUUAGAUGAUUUUUAAAUUGCAUGUACUGAACAGUACUUUUUAAUAUAAAAAGAAGGCUUAGCAUUUGAAUUGUUGGAGAUUACAAUGUUAUACUAUUAUUUUAUUUCUUUUUUGGUCUGGAUCUAAGAUUUCAG